rnacentral:rRNA from 1 species
CGCGGCCUAUCAGCUUGUUGGUGAGGUAAUGGCUCACCAAGGCGUCGACGGGUAGCCGGCCUGAGAGGGUGACCGGCCACACUGGGACUGAGACACGGCCCAGACUCCUACGGGAGGCAGCAGUGGGGAAUAUUGCACAAUGGGCGCAAGCCUGAUGCAGCAACGCCGCGUGAGGGAUGACGGCCUUCGGGUUGUAAACCUCUUUUAGCAGGGAAGAAGCGAAAGUGACGGUACCUGCAGAAAAAGCGCCGGCUAACUACGUGCCAGCAGCCGCGGUAAUACGUAGGGCGCAAGCGUUAUCCGGAAUUAUUGGGCGUAAAGAGCUCGUAGGCGGUUUGUCGCGUCUGCUGUGAAAUCCGGAGGCUCAACCUCCGGCCUGCAGUGGGUACGGGCAGACUAGAGUGCGGUAGGGGAGAUUGGAAUUUCUGGUGUAGCGGUGGAAUGCGCAGAUAUCAGGAGGAACACCGAUGGCGAAGGCAGAUCUCUGGGCCGUAACUGACGCUGAGGAGCGAAAGGGUGGGGAGCAAACAGGCUUAGAUACCCUGGUAGUCCACCCCGUAAACGUUGGGAACUAGUUGUGGGGUCCAUUCCACGGAUUCCGUGACGCAGCUAACGCAUUAAGUUCCCCGCCUGGGGAGUACGG